UACGAUCAUAGCACGUUAAAACACCGCUUUUUAUAUACGAUCACCGAAGUUAAGCAAUGUCGAGACUGGUCAGUACCGAGAUGGGUGACCGUUUAUGAAUACCGGGUGUUGUAAU